GGGGCGGUCGGAGCGAUGGUGAAGACGGGCUGUGGCCGCUACUACGGCGGCGGCAGUGAGGGCGGCCGAGCCCCUAAAUGGCUCAAGACUGACAACGCCGGCGACCAGCACGGAGGCGGCGGCGGGGAGAACUACGACGACCCGCACAGAACCCCUGCCUCCCCAGGUGUCCACAUCAGGGGCCUGAUUGACGGCGUGGUGGAAGCUGACCCUGUGGAGGCCUUGCAGGAGUUUGGACCCAUCAGCCAUGUGGUGGUGAUGCCUAAGAAGAGAAAAGCGCUGGUGGAGUUCGAAGAUGUGCUGGGGGCUUGCAACGCCGUGAAUUACGCAGCUGACAACCAGAUCUACAUUGCCGGUCACCCGGCUUUCGUCACCUACUCUACCAGCCAGAAGAUCUCUCGCCCUGGGGACUCGGAUGACUCCCGGAGCGUCAACAGUGUGCUUCUCUUUACCAUCCUGAAUCCGAUCUACUCUGUUACCACGGAUGUUCUUUACGCUAUCUGUGAUCCUUGUGGCCCUGUGCAGAGAAUUGCCAUUUUCCGAAAGAAUGGAGUGCAGGCCGGGGUGGAAUUUGACUCCGUUCAAAGUGCCCAGCGGGCCAAGGCCUCACUCAAUGGGGCUGACAUCUAUUCUGGCUGUUGCACUCUGAAGAUUGAAUAUGCGAAGCCUACACGCUUGCAUGUGUUCAAGAAUGAUCAGGACACUUGGGAUUACACAAACCCCAACCUCAGUGGACAAGGUGACCCUGGCAGUAACCCCAACAAACGCCAGAGGCAGCCCCUCUCCUGGAAGAUCACCCCGCAGAAUAUGGUGAGGGCAGGGGGUUCCCCUCCGUGGACUCCCAUUCUCACCCGUCCUCCCUCUCUUUCCUUCCCACCCCCCAUGACGAGGGCUACGGCCCCCCCCCCACCUCACUACGAAGGGAGAAGGAUGGGUCCACCAGUGGGGGGGUCACCGUCAGGGCCCAGUAUGGGCACCUCCACCCCCUCCCCCACCACCCGAGUAUGGCCCUCAGGCCCACAGCCCUGUGCUCGUGGUCUAUGGCUUGGAUCAAUCUAAGAUGAACUGUGACCGAGUCUUCAGUGUCUUCUGCUUCUGUGGCAAUGUGGAGAAGGUGAAAUUUAUGAAAAGCAAACCAGGGCCCGCCAUGGUAGAGAUGGCUGAUGGCUAUGCUGUGGACCAGGCCAUCGCCCACCUCAACAACAACUUCAUGUUCGGGCAGAAGCCGAAUGUCUGUGUCCCCAAGCAACCAUCAUGACCAUCACGCCCGGUCAGUCAUACGGGCUGGAAGACGGGUCUUGCAGUUACAAAGACUUCAGCGAAUCAAGGAACAACAGGUUCUCCACCCAGGAGCAGGCAGCCAAGAACCGCAUCCAGCACCUGAGCAACGUGCUGCACUUCUUCAACGCUCUCCUGGAGGUGACCGAGGAGAACUUCUUUGAGAUCUGCGAUGAGCCGGGGCUGAAGCGGCCAUCUUCUGUGAAAGUAUUCUCAGGCAGAAGUGAACGCAGCUCCUCUGGGCUGCUGGAGUGGGAGUCCAAGAGUGACGCCCUGGAGACUUUGGGCUUCCUGAACCAUUACCAGAUGAAGAACCCAAAUGGUCCAUACCCUUACACUCUGAAGUUGUGUUUCUCCAGCGCUCAGCAUGCCUCAUAAUUAGGCACCUAGGAAGAAUCUCACCUGAGCAGGGAAACGUUUCUCUUUCCUUUAUGCUGAUUUGUUUUGUUUUUUUUCAUUUUAUUUAUUUUUUUUUUUCUUGGCAAAAGUUCUUGUAUUCCUUUUUUUUUUU